CCUACGGGGGGCAGCAGUGAGGAAUAUUGGUCAAUGGUCGGGAGACUGAACCAGCCAAGCCGCGUGAGGGAGGAAGGUACAGAGUAUCGUAAACCUCUUUUGUCAGGGAACAAAGGCGGGGACGUGUCCCCGGAUGAGUGUACCUGAAGAAAAAGCAUCGGCUAACUCCGUGCCAGCAGCCGCGGUAAUACGGAGGAUGCGAGCGUUAUCCGGAUUUAUGGGGUUUAAAGGGUGCGGAGGCGGUCUGUUAAGUGAGCGGUCAAAGCCCGGGGCUCAGCCCCGGCCCGCCGUUGAAACUGGCAGUCUCGAGUUGGAGAGAAGUAUGCGGAAUGCGCGGGGUAGCGGUGAAAUGCAUAGAUAUCGCGCAGAACUCCGAUUGCGAAGGCAGCAUGCCGGCUCCACACUGACGCUGAGGCACGAAAGCGUGGGUAUCGAACAGGAUUAGAUACCCGAGUAGUC
rnacentral:rRNA from 1 species